rnacentral:rRNA from 1 species
UACGGGGGGAGCAAGCGUUGUUCGGAUUCAUUGGGCGUAAAGGGCGCGUAGGCGGCUUGGCAAGUCUGACGUGAAAUGUACCGGUUCAACCGGGGCACCGUGUCGGAAACUGCCUGGCUUGAGGUCGAGGGAGGAGAGUGGAAUUCCUGGUGUAGCGGUGAAAUGCGUAGAUAUCAGGAGGAACACCCGUGGCGAAGGCGGCUCUCUAUCUCGAUUCUGACGCUGAGGCGCGAAAGCUAGGGGAGCAAACGGG